UUGAACCAAGCACAUCGUUAUCAUGCACCCGCUCGAAUCAAAUCUUCCAACCAUGUAAGCACAGCAUCUCCUCGACACCAUUUUGUGGGGGACAUGUAUUUAGGAUUCAAUUCUCCAUUUACCCUCGUUUGCAACACAACUCGACAUGAGUUCACCAAAUGCAAAUGCUCGAAAGCAAACCCGAAUUUCCAGUCUUUAAUAUAAAUGAACUCACAGUACUAUCCAUCUUCUACAAAUUAAGCCACUGCGAAACCAAUAAUUAUUAUACGCAUCGUUGUAGCAUCAAUAUUACCAACAAAACAAGAUUUCUAACAAUUCCCUGUCUCACAUCUUCCCA